rnacentral:misc_RNA from 1 species
UUUCCGUAGGUGAACCUGCGGAAGGAUCAUUAUUGUAUAGCCGAGGUGCGAGGGCUGUCGCUGACCCGAAAGGUCGUGCACGCCCGAGUGCCCUCACACACAUCCAUCUCACCCCUAUGUGCACCACCGCGUGAGUCCCCCUUUGGCUUGUUCGGAGGGGGGCUUACGUCUGCACACAAACUUUGUAUGCAGUGUAGAAUGUAUUUUUUGUUUUUGCGAUCACGCAAUCAAUACAACUUUCAACAACGGAUCUCUUGGCUCUC